CAUCCUCCAUCUCAACCUCUUCAGCAAGGCUCGUCUUCUCAACAUAGUGGAACAUAUGCUCUUCCUUCUCACCAAAAAAAGCAAGUAGAAGAAGAAUCAUCUCCGUACAACCACUGGACUGACCUUUUUCACUUGCUAACUUGAGGAGAGACUCCAGAACUUGUUUUUCUUUCUGAGCAAAAACAGUUUUCAGGAAGUUGACGAUGCGCUCCCCCUUUUUGUCCAGAUUGGUGAAGAAGGCUUCCAUCAGACUGAUGCCAGUAAGUUGCUGGAAGUGUUCUGCCAUGCCAGUUUCAUGGAACAAAAAAGGCCAUUCUUGGCAUAGCUUCAGGAUGCUUGUACCUUUAUUGAUGUCCUUUCGUUGCGUGUAAUAGGUGGACUUGAUAAGUUCUUUCACAUCUUCUGCAGCAUAUUUUUUGUCUUUGAACAUCUUUUUCAUGUCUUCUUUUUUCUUAAGCUGACUCUCUACAGUCUCAGAAAGGGGCAAAAACUUUGGCGCCCAGUUGACACAGCCAUACGUGUCUUGAACACUGGCUUUCUGCUCAGCAGGUAUCUCAUCAGUGUCAUUAUCUGAUUCUGCCUUGCGUUUAGUUAUCUUUGGUGUGUCUUGUCGUUUGACAUUUUCAAUUCUUGCCUGGAGUUGUUUUACCAAGGAAUGAUAACCAAGUCCAAUAACGUCACCAUCAAUGACAUCCUUAAGUGACUUUGGAUACCUGCUCACCAUCCUUUCUGCUAUUUCAGUAGUGUUGCGUUUGGUUGGAUUCUUGCAAAUCAGCAUCAUUUCAGAGACAAUAAUCCUCACCAUUUGUCUUCGAAGUCGUGCACUUGGCCUUUUCUGUCGUUCCAAAGUCUGUAUCAGCUCUUCUGGAAGCUUCUGCCACGGUAUCUGAAAACUGUCAACCCAGGUUGGCAAAACUGGGGAGCAGCUCAGGGAAGGCGAUGAAGUAGCAGCAGACGAUGGUUGUGAAAGUGAGGCUGCAGAUUGAGAGGACUGAACAGACUGUGGAGAGGAGGAUGCCCCGCCUGAAGUUGAAGCCAUUGAGUCUGGAAAGGAACUACCAGGUGUAAAUGAGAAGCUGUACAUUGUUGUCCUUGUCAAAUAAACAAACAUAUGAAAUAUGA